rnacentral:rRNA from 1 species
ACGAACGCUGGCGGCGUGCUUAACACCUGCACGUCGAACGGAAAGGCCCUGCUUGCAGGGUACUCGAGUGGCGAACGGGUGAGUAACACGUGGGUGAUCUGCCCUGCACUUCGGGAUAAGCCUGGGAAACUGGGUCUAAUACCGGAUAGGAGCCAUUUUUAGUGUGAUGGUUGGAAAGUUUUUUCGGUGUAGGAUGAGCUCGCGGCCUAUCAGCUUGUUGGUGGGGUAAUGGCCUACCAAGGCGGCGACGGGUAGCCGGCCUGAGAGGGUGGACGGCCACAUUGGGACUGAGAUACGGCCCAGACUCCUACGGGAGGCAGCAGUGGGGAAUAUUGCACAAUGGGCGCAAGCCUGAUGCAGCGACGCCGCGUGGGGGAUGACGGCCUUCGGGUUGUAAACUCCUUUCGCUAGGGACGAAGCUUUUUGUGACGGUACCUAGAUAAGAAGCACCGGCUAACUACGUG